CUACCCAGGAGAAAGUCAUGGGUUCUGCUGCUGAGAAUUCUGGCUUGAUGUUUGGUCCACCUGUUAGCUGGCUCUGGUGCUUGGUAGUCUUCUCAAACCUCUGAAUCAAGGCCACCAUGAGAGGCCUUCUGAAGACCAUCAUUACGCUUCAGAUCCAGUUGUCUUAACUAUGAGCCUACCACAAUCCCUGUGCACCAGCUAUGGAAAGUGCAGACCAAACUUCUACCUCCACCUAUAGAACUGAACUGGAGUCUGUGAACUAAUGCUGUGUUCGAGACAACUGGAACAGCAAACAAAGUUGAGUAUCCGACCUCUCAACUUGUGACUGAUCGAUCAGCACCAACCUCAACGAGAUGCAUCAUUUGACAUUGCAGACAAAUCCUUUCUCUUUUUAAUGCAGCACUUAAGGAUGAACCACCCUGAUCUACUAAGAUGCACAGAUUCAACUCUGGCCCAGCAUCAUCCCCACACCUCAUCUGCCAUCAGUUUAAUUUAAUGUCUGUCAAUUGCAAAUGCUAUUUAUUUCAGUUAUAUUACAACUUAAUGUUAACUUUAAUUGAGACUAGUAUUGUGUAAAGCUGGGGUUUCCAAACUUUUCAUUUCAAAACCUAUUAGACAAGUGUAAUCUAUUCUAGACCCACUAAAAUAUUUUUACAUAUACAUUUUUUUAAUGGGGUAAAACACAUUUGUUCUCUUUCAGUGGAGUCAUUUUAUUUUCAUAAUAUUUCAUAAUGUAAAGCAGUGGUUCUUAACGUUAUUCCUCGAGGCCCACUGCUCUGCACAUUUUGUAUGUCUCUUUUAUCUGACAGACUCAGUUCAGUUCAUUGAGAUCUCUUCUAAUGAGCUGAUGAUUUGAAUCAG